AGAGUUGAUCAUGGCUCAGGAUGAACGCUAGCUACAGGCUUAACACAUGCAAGCGAGGGCAGCAUAACGAAAGCUGCUUUGUUGAUGGCGACCGGCGCACGGGUGAGUAACGCGUAUCCAACCUUCCCUGUAGUAGAGAAUAGCCCGGCGAAAGUCGGAUUAAUGCUCUAUGUUGUAUUUCGAUGACAUCUGAAGAAUACCAAAGGUUUACCGCUAUAGGAUGGGGAUGCGUCUGAUUAGGUUGUUGGCGGGGUAACGGCCCACCAAGCCUACGAUCAGUAGGGGUUCUGAGAGGAAGGUCCCCCACAUUGGAACUGAGACACGGUCCAAACUCCUACGGGAGGCAGCAGUGAGGAAUAUUGGUCAAUGGACGGAAGUCUGAACCAGCCAAGUAAGCGUGCAGGAUGACGGCCCUAUGGGUUGUAAACUGCUUUUAUAUAGGGAUAAAGUCGGGGACGUGUCCCCGUUUGUAGGUACUAUAUGAAUAAGGACCGGCUAAUUCCGUGCCAGCCGCAGC
rnacentral:rRNA from 1 species